GUUUGAAGCUCACAGGUUUGCGUUUAUAUCUCAGAAAUGGCCGAAGGAGCAAAAAACCCUUGGGCUGUGCUGCAAAGGGGCCCAGAGAAGGUUUUAUUUCAUAGUGAAUGGGCUGUGAUUGCAGGGCAGAGUGGUACAUCCAUGUGUGAUGAUAUGGAAUUUAUCUCAAUGGAGGAAUAUGAUUUGGUUGUGCACCUGGAGCCUUCAGCUGCCUUUUCUGGGGCAGCUACAUACAUUAUACAAAAAAUAAUGAUAAUCUCAUUUUCCUCCUGAAAGGAGCAGCAAACACCUCUGCUUGCAGGCAUAAGGCACAGCAUUUUGGGUGCUUAAACUCUGUAGUGAAAAUGCUGAGUCACGGCCUGAAGCCCUGAUUGAGCACCUGGUGGGAAGGCAGGGCCAACCCAGGGGAGCUCAGGUGCGUGCAGUGUGCCUGAUUGACCGGGAGGGGUGGAGCCAGGAUCCAGGCCUUCCCAGACCUCAUUUGAGGGUUGGCAGUGGAAGAAAGAGUAUCUUGCUGGAGAUCUCCCCAUAUCGGAGGUGUUCUGAAGGCGUGCAUCACAGGGCACAAGGAG
rnacentral:lncRNA from 1 species